UACGUAGGGUGCGAGCGUUGUCCGGAAUUAUUGGGCGUAAAGAGCUCGUAGGCGGUUUGUCGCGUCUGUCGUGAAAGCCCACGGCUUAACCGUGGGUCUGCGGUGGAUACGGGCAGACUAGAGGCAGGUAGGGGAGAAUGGAAUUCCCGGUGUAGCGGUGAAAUGCGCAGAUAUCGGGAGGAACACCAGUGGCGAAGGCGGCCUUCUGGACCAAUACUGACGCUCAUGCACGAAAGCGUGGGGAGCAAACAGG
rnacentral:rRNA from 1 species